rnacentral:sRNA from 1 species
AUAAUCAUCAUCGGUA